rnacentral:lncRNA from 1 species
AUGAGCAGAGCCCUACAGUCUUACUGUCCUUUGCUUUAUGCACAAAAAGCAAGUCUGGAUGCUGUACCGGAGGGAUUGCCUACGAGAGACCCUAUUUUAAUGUCUAUUAAAAUCUGUUUAAUCUUAACACUGCUCAUUAGAAACCAAAUCAUCUUUCUGCUGUCAGGAUCCUUACAAGGCUGGGAACUUGGCCCUUUUCAGGGAAUGAACUCAGAAGCCUCGAUAACCCAAGACGCUUCCUCUCCUACCCUUCCUAGCCCAAUUCGGAUACUCCUGCUCGAAUGCCACUUUCAUACAAAGGCUGGCUUCAGAGAAUGUGCGGAGGCAAGAUUUCAUUUUGAGAACUGGAAAAGACUGAAGCUCAAUUACAGAUGGCAGACCCUUGAAAUACUGGAGGUGACUCUUCAGCAAGAGGACCAAAUCCCUGCCCUAAAUACAGUGAUAGUAUUUGGGGUGUCUCAACCAUGCUCUCAUAGGUCCCUUUGCCUUCAUGAAGGAUGUGUGUUUGUCAGUCUCGAAAGACUCCGCACCUCCAGAAGCAUCAUCCAAUGACACCAGGCAAUGGGAAAGCUGCCCUUGAGGUUGGGAGCCCAUUUCUGCAAUCGAAUCUUCAUUGGAGACCCGCAUCCCCACUGCGAGAACCACUGCCG